UAAAGGCAUGGUCCUGACCUUACUAUCCGCUAUUACCCAACUUACACAUGCAAGUAUCCGCGCCACCGUGAGUCACGCCCUCAGUCCCCCGCCCGGGGAUCAGGAGCGGGCAUCAGGCACACUUUUAAGCUAAGCCCAGGACGCCCAGCCAAGCCACGCCCUCAAGGGAAUUCAGCAGUGAUAAACAUUAAGCCAUGAGUGAAAACUCGACUUAGUUAGGGCUAAUAGGGCCGGUAAAACUCGUGCCAGCCACCGCGGUUAAACGAGAGGCCCUAGUUGAUAGUAUCACGGCGUAAAGGGUGGUUAAGGACUACAAUUUAAUAAAGCUAAACAGCCCUCCGGCCGUCAUACGCUUCCAGGCGCUAGAGACCCAUUAUACGAAAGUAGCUUUAAUAAACCCGACCCCACGAAAGCUGAGGGACAAACUGGGAUUAGAUACCCCACUAUGCUCAGCCAUAAACCCAGAUAUUUAACUACAACUACAUAUCCGCCCGGGUACUACGAGCAUUAGCUUGAAACCCAAAGGACCUGACGGUGCCUCAGACCCCCCUAGAGGAGCCUGUUCUAGAACCGAUAACCCCCGUUAAACCUCACCACUUCUGGCCGUCCCAGCCUAUAUACCACCGUCGCCAGCUUACCCUGUGAAGGAAUCAAAAGUAAGCAAAAUGGAAGAACCCCAGAACGUCAGGUCGAGGUGUAGCGCACGAAGUGGGAAGAAAUGGGCUACAUUUUCUUAUGAAGAAUACUACGGAUGUAUAACAUGAAAUAGUGCCUGAAGGAGGAUUUAGUAGUAAAAGGGAAAAAGAGUGUCCUUUUGAACCCGGCUCUGAAGCGCGUACACACCGCCCGUCACUCUCCCCGUCAAAAUGCAACAUAUAUACUUAAUGCCAAAGCACCGACAAGGGGAGGCAAGUCGUAACAUGGUAAGUGUACCGGAAGGUGCACUUGGCUAAAC
rnacentral:ncRNA from 1 species